rnacentral:lncRNA from 1 species
UUGAGGAUAUGUUUUAGUAAAUAUCAUUUAAGUUAUUAUAUUUAUUUUCAUUUAAAAAUUCCUUUUCUUAAUUGUUCACUUAUUUUUCAUAUAAAAAAGAAAUGAAACUCAUCAUCAAGUACAUCACAAUGUGUUCAUAGUCUUAAAUUUAUUGCAAUCUCUAAGACUUUUAUAUCUUCUAUUACGGUAUUGGUGUUUCUCACCGCUAAAGGGCAUAGGACAGUGAGUUAUAGUUGCUUAACCAUGUAAAAUCCACUUCACUUUGUAAGAUAGUAGUCUCAUUGGUAAUAAUAUCCUAUCUUUUUGAAGUGGCAAAGCAGGAUUGGUCAUGUUAGUCAAAGAUUCUUGUUAACAAAUCGGUCAUCUGUGUCAAUAUCGCGAUAUUAAAAAUAUUGAACGGAUGUUACCUAAAACCCGAGUCAUUACUUGCU